rnacentral:rRNA from 1 species
AACGAACGCUGGCGGCAUGCCUAACACAUGCAAGUCGAACGAGACCUUCGGGUCUAGUGGCGCACGGGUGCGUAACGCGUGGGAAUCUGCCCUUGGGUUCGGAAUAACAGUUGGAAACGACUGCUAAUACCGGAUGAUGACGUAAGUCCAAGAUUUAUCGCCCAAGGAUGAGCCCGCGUAGGAUUAGCUAGUUGGUGAGGUAAAGGCUCACCAAGGCGACGAUCCUUAGCUGGUCUGAGAGGAUGAUCAGCCACACUGGGACUGAGACACGGCCCAGACUCCUACGGGAGGCAGCAGUGGGGAAUAUUGGACAAUGGGCGAAAGCCUGAUCCAGCAAUGCCGCGUGAGUGAUGAAGGCCUUAGGGUUGUAAAGCUCUUUUACCCGGGAUGAUAAUGACAGUACCGGGAGAAUAAGCUCCGGCUAACUCCGUG